CGGGAGUUCCGCGCCGUGGGUCCCGCGCCACUCCUGAUUCCCUCGGUCUGGCUAUCACGCUCACGGGAGAGCUGGGAGGGGUCCUUAAGGUUUCCCUGCUGUGUGGAGAGGGAAGGCUAGGGGAUUACACACCUGUCGCCGCUGGUUUCAAUGAAGUUAUCUCCUCUGCCGCAUUCUGGUGACAUCAGUUCUCUGCCAUGGUGGUAUCCCAUGCAAAUGGCGACAGUUCGUUCCCUUUGCCGGGUGACCAAUGCAACGGGUGGGUCCUGACUGUCUCUCCCAAGCCCCGUAUCAAUUCUGUGGCCACUGCCUAUGAAGGCUCGGUUGGCAUUAACCUCCGUAGGAUCAGAAAGGCCGACCAGUUGUUUCAGCGGGAUCGUUUAGUGCUGAGUCACAGCAGUUUGUCUGCAAGAAGCAGGCAAACGGG
rnacentral:lncRNA from 1 species